rnacentral:piRNA from 1 species
ACGGCACGGGCCUGUGAUCACAGUGGAUGU